UCCACUUCACCGCCUUCUUCACCAUGCUUGGCUUCAUCAACCUCCGAUUUGUUCUUAUUCAGCUCUGGGUGAUCAAUACUCUUCCUUUCCUGCUCAUUUUGGAUGCUUCCAGCUUGUAUGAUGGUUUUUGGUGCUUAAAAAGAGGGUCUCAUCUUCUGAAACUUGUUUUCUUCUUCUUCUAUAGCUGGGAUGGAGAUAAUGGAAAGCUUGGACCUGUUGAUAGUUGAAGAGGAACAAGAAAUUCAGCUGCUUGCAUUCGAUAUGACUUGGUGACCCCUGAUCUACUGAGAUUUUCUUUUGUUGGCUGGUGUAAAUAGGCAUAGCAUUUUUACUUUUUUGUUCAGCUUUAUUUGUAUAUAAGAUGUUAGUGAGAACAUUUGUUGCAGCCUUUCCAGUCCUGUUAGCAUGUUGCUACUUUUAGUCUCAAGUAUGGACAUUAUUGCUUGUCAGUGUUUAGUAACUUUGUACCUGCACUUGGUAACUGGUUGAAAG